UUAAGUUAUUAAGGGCGCACGGUGGAUGCCUUGGCACUAGAAGCCGAAGAAGGACGUUACUAACGACGAUAUGCUUUGGGUAGCUGUAAGUAAGCGUUGAUCCAGAGAUUUCCGAAUGGGGGAACCCAACAUGAGUUAUGUCAUGUUAUCGACAUGUGAAUUCAUAGCAUGUCAGAAGGCAGACCCGGAGAACUGAAACAUCUUAGUACCCGGAGGAAGAGAAAGAAAAAUCGAUUCCCUGAGUAGCGGCGAGCGAAACGGGAAGAGCCCAAACCAACAAGCUUGCUUGUUGGGGUUGUAGGACACUCUAUACGGAGUUACAAAAGAACAUGUUAGACGAAUCAUCUGGAAAGAUGAAUCAAAGAAGGUAAUAAUCCUGUAGUCGAAAACAUAUUCUCUCUUGAGUGGAUCCUGAGUACGACGGAGCACGUGAAAUUCCGUCGGAAUCUAGGAGGACCAUCUCCUAAGGCUAAAUACUCUCUAGUGACCGAUAGUGAACCAGUACCGUGAGGGAAAGGUGAAAAGUACCCCGGAAGGGGAGUGAAAGAGAACUUGAAACCGUGUGCUUACAAGUAGUCAGAGCCCGUUUAUGGGUGAUGGCGUGCCUUUUGUAGAAUGAACCGGCGAGUUACGAUCUGAUGCAAGGUUAAGCAGCGAAUGUGGAGCCGUAGCGAAAGCGAGUCUGAAUAGGGCGUUGAGUAUUUGGUCGUAGACCCGAAACCAGGUGAUCUACCCUUGGUCAGGUUGAAGUUCAGGUAACACUGAAUGGAGGACCGAACCGACUUACGUUGAAAAGUGAGCGGAUGAACUGAGGGUAGCGGAGAAAUUCCAAUCGAACUUGGAGAUAGCUGGUUCUCUCCGAAAUAGCUUUAGGGCUAGCCUCAAGUGAUGAUUAUUGGAGGUAGAGCACUGUUUGGACGAGGGGCCCCUCUCGGGUUACCGAAUUCAGACAAACUCCGAAUGCCAAUCAAUUUAACUUGGGAGUCAGAACAUGGGUGAUAAGGUCCGUGUUCGAAAGGGAAACAGCCCAGACCACCAGCUAAGGUCCCAAAAUAUAUGUUAAGUGGAAAAGGAUGUGGCGUUGCCCAGACAACUAGGAUGUUGGCUUAGAAGCAGCCAUCAUUUAAAGAGUGCGUAAUAGCUCACUAGUCGAGUGACACUGCGCCGAAAAUGUACCGGGGCUAAACAUAUUACCGAAGCUGUGGAUUGUCCUUCGGACAAUGGUAGGAGAGCGUUCUAAGGGCGUUGAAGCAUGAUCGCAAGGACAUGUGGAGCGCUUAGAAGUGAGAAUGCCGGUGUGAGUAGCGAAAGACGGGUGAGAAUCCCGUCCACCGAUUGACUAAGGUUUCCAGAGGAAGGCUCGUCCGCUCUGGGUUAGUCGGGUCCUAAGCUGAGGCCGACAGGCGUAGGCGAUGGAUAACAGGUUGAUAUUCCUGUACCACCUAGUAUCGUUUUAAUCGAUGGGGGGACGCAGUAGGAUAGGCGAAGCGUGCUGUUGGAGUGCACGUCCAAGCAGUAAGGCUGAGUGUUAGGCAAAUCCGGCACUCGUUAGGCUGAGCUGUGAUGGGGAGAGGAAAUUGUUUCCUCGAGUCGUUGAUUUCACACUGCCGAGAAAAGCCUCUAGAUAGAUAACAGGUGCCCGUACCGCAAACCGACACAGGUAGUCAAGAUGAGAAUUCUAAGGUGAGCGAGCGAACUCUCGUUAAGGAACUCGGCAAAAUGACCCCGUAACUUCGGGAGAAGGGGUGCUCUUUAGGGUUCACGCCCAGAAGAGCCGCAGUGAAUAGGCCCAAGCGACUGUUUAUCAAAAACACAGGUCUCUGCUAAACCGUAAGGUGAUGUAUAGGGGCUGACGCCUGCCCGGUGCUGGAAGGUUAAGAGGAGUGGUUAGCUUCUGCGAAGCCACGAAUCGAAGCCCCAGUAAACGGCGGCCGUAACUAUAACGGUCCUAAGGUAGCGAAAUUCCUUGUCGGGUAAGUUCCGACCCGCACGAAAGGCGUAACGAUUUGGGCACUGUCUCAACGAGAGACUCGGUGAAAUCAUAGUACCUGUGAAGAUGCAGGUUACCCGCGACAGGACGGAAAGACCCCGUGGAGCUUUACUGUAGCCUGAUAUUGAAAUUCGGCACAGCUUGUACAGGAUAGGUAGGAGCCAUUGAAACGUGAGCGCUAGCUUACGUGGAGGCGUUGGUGGGAUACUACCCUAGCUGUGUUGGCUUUCUAACCCGCACCACUUAUCGUGGUGGGAGACAGUGUCAGGCGGGCAGUUUGACUGGGGCGGUCGCCUCCUAAAAGGUAACGGAGGCGCUCAAAGGUUCCCUCAGAAUGGUUGGAAAUCAUUCACAGAGUGUAAAGGCAUAAGGGAGCUUGACUGCGAGACCUACAAGUCGAGCAGGGUCGAAAGACGGACUUAGUGAUCCGGUGGUUCCGCAUGGAAGGGCCAUCGCUCAACGGAUAAAAGCUACCCCGGGGAUAACAGGCUUAUCUCCCCCAAGAGUUCACAUCGACGGGGAGGUUUGGCACCUCGAUGUCGGCUCAUCGCAUCCUGGGGCUGUAGUCGGUCCCAAGGGUUGGGCUGUUCGCCCAUUAAAGCGGUACGCGAGCUGGGUUCAGAACGUCGUGAGACAGUUCGGUCCCUAUCCGUCGUGGGCGUAGGAAAUUUGAGAGGAGCUGUCCUUAGUACGAGAGGACCGGGAUGGACAUACCUCUGGUGUACCAGUUGUCGUGCCAACGGCAUAGCUGGGUAGCUAUGUAUGGACGGGAUAAGUGCUGAAAGCAUCUAAGCAUGAAGCCCCCCUCAAGAUGAGAUUUCCCAACUUCGGUUAUAAGAUCCCUCGAAGAUGACGAGGUUAAUAGGUUCGAGGUGGAAGCGUGGUGACACGUGGAGCUGACGAAUACUAAUCGAUCGAAGACUUAAUCAA
rnacentral:rRNA from 6 species